UGAUGUUGAAUCUACAUGGAAGCGCUUGACUCACUCGUGGACUCCCCCGUUGAGUAUGUUUGUGUGGAGAAACCAUCGCUGACAGAUUCCAUUACAUCAUACCUCUGGAUAGAGUCACUGAAACAAUUGAAGAUAAGAUCGGAUCUUGGAUUGGAGGCAAAGAAGUAGCAGCAGUAAAACAGAUAAGCUCUUUUACCUUCUCUUUUACUGUUUUGUUUCCAAGUUUGAGAUUCGGUACCGCACUGCCGAUUCUUGCUUACUUUUGUUUUGGUUCUAUCAAACCCCAAAAAGAUCAUAAAGCAGACACUAAUCUAAUAGUGUUUUGUCAGAUUCUUAUUUGGGGACAUUGUCCCGUUGCGUGAAGCCGAGACCCUGAAUUUUUUUUUGAAAUCAUGGGUCCUCCAACUCCAUUGGUUGGUGGGUAGUGCAUGUCUAAGUAAACGAUGGAAAGUAUGACAGAAUUUUGUUACCCACGGCUUACAAAACACAACAAACGGCUUAAGAAAAGUCUUUAGACAGAGACUGUACCCACGGCUUACAAAAACGGCUUAAGAAAAGUCUUUAGACAGAGCUUUCAAUAAAGUUUUUAGACAAAGCUUGGCGGGAUCAAACAAACGGCUUAAGAAAAGUCUUUAGACAGAGACUGUACCCACGGCUUACAAAAACGGCUUAAGAAAAGUCUUUAGACAGAGCUUUCAAUAAAGUUUUUAGACAAAGGUUGGAUGGAUCAAACGACCCAUGGCUUGCAAAAAACAAUGUCUUUAGGCAGACAAAGACUAUGAAUGUUUGGAUGGAUCAAAUGUCCCGUGGCUUGCACAAAGGUCUUUAGACACAAAAAGACUAUGAAUGUUGGGAUGGAUAAAACGACCAACGGUACAUCGUAAAGUCUUUAGACAUAGACUAUGAGUUACCCACGGCUUAUAAAGUCUUUAGACAAAGUCCAUGAGUUGAUUAAGAGGCUUUAGAAAAUAUUGCUACCCACGGCUUAUGAAAAGUUCUUAGACAAAGACUUUGAGAUUCUUGCUACACACAGCUUAUGUAAAGUCUUUAGACAAAGACUGAAUCUGGCCAACACUACAACAUAAAGUCUUUAGACAUAAGACUAUGAGUUACUCACGGCUUAUGAAGUCUAUAAACAAAGUCCAUGAGUUGAUUUAAGAGGCUUUAGAAAAUAUUGCUACCCACGGCUUAUGAAAAGUUCUUAGACAAAGACUUUGAGAUUCUUGCUACACACAGCUUAUGUAAAGUCUUUAGACAGAGACUGAAUCUGGCCAACAACAACUCUAUGAGAAGAGUCUUUAUGGAAGUCUUAAAGCCAAACAGAAUUAUUGCUUGACGACUUCCCACGGCUUAAAGAAUGUUUUCAGACAAAGACUACCCACGGCUUAAAGAAUGUUUGUUUUCAGACAAAGACUACCCAUGGCUUAUGAAAAAAAUUUAGACAAAGACUUUGAGAUUCUUGCUACACACAGCUUAUGUAAAGUCUUUAGACAAAGACUGAAUCUGGCCAACAACAACUCUAUGAGAAGAGUCUUUAUGGAAGUUUUAAAGCCAAACAGAAUUAUUGCUUGACGACUACCCACGGCUUAAAGAAUGUUUUCAGACAAAGAUUACCCACGGCUUAUGAAAAAAAUUUAGACAAAGACUUUGAGAUUCUUGCUACACACAACUUAUGUGAAGUCUUUAGACAAAGACUGAAUCUGGCCAACAACAACUCUAUGAGAAGAGUCUUUAUGGAAGUCAAUACUACAGCUACCCACGGCUUUAUGGAAGUCUUUAAGCCAAACAUAAUUAUUGCUUGACAACUACCCACGGCUUAAGGAAUGUUUUCAGACAAAGACUAGGGGUUAGUCUUAACGAAGUCUAAAUGCAAAGACUAUGAAUUGAAACGGGUUCCCUGCUUUACCAGUACCCACGGCUUAGAAAAACAACAAACGGCUUAGACAAAUUGUGAUUGAACCCUCGGCUUGCAAAAUCUUAUAGACAAAUCCUAUGAAUUAGUUUCUGCAGUUGUUGGAUGAAAGAACGACCAACAGCUCUGGAAACGUCUUAAGGGGCUUAUAAAAGGUCUUAAAGAUGAAGACUAUUAUGAGUUGGAUGUGAAAACGACAUCACGACAAGGUGAUAUGAAUCAAAAACAGACAUACUUGACCACAACUCUUAAGACAGAGAGAGUGUGAAAACAAACACAGAGUAUGAAAACAGACAGAUGACUGACUACAUGUCAGUUUUUGACUUGUUGGAUGGAAAACAAUGGCUUAAUCCAAGUCUUAAGACAAAGAUUUUGAAACAAACAUUGAGUUGGUUUUGACUUGAUUGUUGGGAAAAACUACCAACAACAGCUUAAACCAAGUCUUAAGACAGAGAGUAUAGACCAAAAAAAUUGAGUUUCUUGCUACACACAGCUUAUGAAAGGUCUUCAAGAUGAAGACUAUGAACUGGAUGUAAAAACGACUAACCGUGGAUGGAAAAACACGACCACCGGUUUAAUUGCACACAAACCUACUACUUGUUGGAUGGAAAAAACUACAUGCGGCUUAGAAUAUUCUUACACAAAGACAAUGGUUGUUUGAGUUGUUGUACGGUAAACACGACUUAAACAGAAACUAUGAACCAAAACAAUAAUCAUAAGGCUUAAUAACCGCUAGACAGAGAAGGAUCAAAAGCUGAAAAAGAGUUUAAGACAGGUUAUAUGAAUCAGAAACAGACUCCUUACUUCACCACAAGCUUUGGCAAAGUAUUUAGACAAAUGGAAAACGACCACUGGCUUAAACUAAGUCUUAAGACAGAGACUAUGAGCCAAAAUAGAGUUUGUUUUUGGCUUGAUGGAAGGGGAAAACGACCGAUGGCUUAAACUAAGUCUUAAGACAGAGACUAUGAGCCAAAAUUGAGUUCGUUUCUGGCUUGAUGGAAGGAGAAAACGACCAACUGAACGGCCUAAACCAAGUCUUAAGACAGAGACUAUGAUGAACCGAAAUUGAGUCGGUUUUUGGCUUAUUAGAUGGGGAAAGUGACUAACAACUUAAACCAAGUCUUAAGUCAGAGACAAAUGAACUGAAAACUGAUUUUGUGCUUCACUAUCUAAGACUUAAAAAAGUUCUCAAAUAGUGUUACCCGAGACUAUGAAUGGAAUAUAGAAAGUCUUUAGACCAAAGAUUCGACUUGUUAGAUAAGAAAAAGACUAUGAAUGUAUAACACAUUCAUUACUUUACCACUCACAACGUAAAAUUCACAAGGUAAGAAUGAGGCAUUUAAGUGAAGCAGAGACUGAUUAAUUCUGAAUUUUGCAGGUAUGUAUGUGCUACUUCAAACUGUUAGAGACUCAUAGAAGAUUUCAAGUGUAGCAAAUUUCUUUGACAGGUAUGUGCAUUUCAAACUUGUUUGUAAUUUAGUUGGUACAAUUAUGAAAAUUGAGACACAAACAUGAAGUAAAGAUUAGUUUCAUCUGUUUAGGUUUGUUCUUCAGAAACUGCUCAUAUCCUCAUUGAGGCAAAGGCUUUUCUCAGGUAUAUGCUUUUCUUGACUUUACUCUUGUAUAAAUGGGUUUCUUUACUUACGAAAAUUUACAAAGCUAAGUGAUAUAUGCGUAGGUAAAAGAAACUGGAAAUGAAUAUCUAAGCUCCAUUUAAGCUGACUAUUCAACAUUUCUAUCAUUGGUUUAGCUAGCAUCCGUGAGAUUCUAGAAUUUUAAUUCCUAACAUAUCUACUGAUGAACAGGUAGAUUUUCUAUUUUGAUUUUGGAGCAUUACUUUUUGUGUUUACAGUGGUUGUAAUCUCUAUUGCAUUUAUUAUAAGGUCUCUAAUUUUGUCAAAUGAAUGUAUCUUGGAGCUCUUGUAGAUCAAAGUAGGUGGGAGACACUCCUGCAUAUUGUGGUGGUAGUUUUCUUAAGUUUCGAAUGUUUCUGUUUUGUGUUAUUCUCCUAACCUUCACUGAUCAUUCUAAAUAGUGUUAAUAAAACUAUUUAUAGUUUGGUACUUGUAUGCAUUAUAAGGUCUCUCAUUUUGUGAAAUGGAUGUACCUUGUAGUAAGUGAGAGCCUCCUGCAGAUUUGUGGUGCUAAUUUCAUUGAAUUUCGAAUGUUUCUGCUUUUGUGUAAUCUCUCUCUAUUGCAUGUAUUAUAAGGUUUCUAAUUUGUUGAAAUGGAUGUAUCUUGUAGUCUCUUGUAGAACAAAGUAGGUGAGAGACUCCUGCAGAUUAUGUUGGUAGUUUCAUUGAAUUUCAAAUGUUUCUGUUUUUGUGUCAAUGCUCCUCCUAACCCUGAAUGAUCGUUCUAAACAUGGACAGUGUUAGUAUUCUCGUUAGUUUGGUGCUUGUAUGAGCUAUAAGGUUUCUCAUCUUGUAAGAUAGAUGGAUCUUGGAGUCGUAGAUCAAGUUAUAGUAUUCUCUUUAGUUUGGUGCUUGCAUCUACUAUUAGGUUUCUCAUUUUAUGAAAUAGAUGUAUCUCUUGUAGAUUCAAAAUAUCUGAAAGACUAGAGAUGGUGGUAGUAUUUUCUUUGCAACUUGAACAUUAUGUUUUCUUUAAUGGUCCGUACCCUGGGUGAUCAUUUUAAACAUGUGAAGUGAAAUCUCUACGCUGAUGAUUACUAUGUUAGAUCCUUUAAAUUGUAUAUGUUGACUUGAAAAUUUCCAUGUUGUGGUAUUUGUGUCUAUUUGCUUUGGUUUCUGAGUCUUGUCAAAAAGUAGACAUCACUUGAUUUUCACAAUUUAUGGAAUUGUUCAUCGUAUGCUGAUGAUUACACGUUACAUUUAUAGAUUUAAAUGUUGAAUUGAAUUUUUACUAUAACAGUGAUCAAAAAUUCUCUGUUAUAUAUGUGUGUCUAUCUUGUGAUCUCUUAGUCGUACAGAGCCGGUGAAGCUUUUAAGUUUCUAUGAUUGAUUGAUUGAUGUCAAAUUCAAGAAAGUAGCUGUAUGUAAAGUCUAGUAGUUGUAAACAUUUGAAAUAGGUGCUCUGGUCUUCUCUUCUCUUCUCUUUAAGUCGACUAAAUGUGAUGUCAGAUAUUAUUUUCUGGAAAUUAUUGACUCUAGUUUUUGAACAAAAUCAUCCAAUUUUGUGUUUGUUAUCCGACAAAUUAUCACACACUGAAUUACUAUUACAUACUAAAAUAAUAAGACUCGGAUGUGUUAUAUGAUCAUCUAAGGAACGGCAUAAUGUGAUUGGAGAGUCAUGCUAUUGUAGAUAAGAUUCAGCUGUAAUCUUUAACGAAAAAUAAACUUAGUUGUUGUCUGUCUAAGCUAAGAUCAUUUGAAUUUUGAUGUUAUAAACAGUAAUGUCUUUAUGUACUUUUCAGCUGUGGUAGAAUGUUCUUGCAUUUUGGUUAGUUUACCUAUGGUGUAUGAAUUAUUGCUUAUCUAAUUGCAUAUUGUUCUUUAGAAUAUAGAUCUAUUUUGUGAUAAAAACUAAAAAAUGUCUAUUUGAAAGAAUUGAGUUCAAAAAAAAAAAAUCUAUUUGAGAGAAUUGCUCUUGUAUAGACUAGGUAAGGAACCCCGUGCGAUAUCGCACGGGAACUCAUUUUAUAAAAACAAAUAAACCAUACUUUAUUAUUCCAAAGUAAACCACUAUGAAUAAUAGUUCCAAGAUUAUCAUAGUUGUAAUAAUUCAUCUCUAAAUAUUACCAUCACUAUUAGUUGCAAUGGUUCAUACAAAUAUAAUAUUAUAAAAUAACUAAAUUAUCCAAAAUUAAAUUAUCAAAAUAUUUUUAGCCAAUUUAAAUAUUUUUAAAUGCAUAUAAAAUAGAUAUGAAAAUGAAUUAAAAGAUAACUCAUUAACACUUUAUGCCAAGUCUAUAAUGUUGCGGUGACUUCGCCGGAAGGAAUUGUUGUUAGAAUAUAGAUUGUUUCUUCUUGAAAAAAACAAUACAAAAGUUUUACUUGUUUUUUUUUUGUAACUGAACAAAAGUUUUACUUGUGAAAUAGAAGAAAACAAAUUACGUUUGUAACGACAUGCUCUGUUUCAUGACUGAGAAACAGUAUGAAAGAAAAUUAAAUUUAUUAAUCUAUUGUUGUUCACAUACACACACAGUAAUUUCUACAUAUCAUGUUUUGAUCUAUAUAUAGAGAUCAAAGGUUGUGAAGAAGAGACAUGACUCUUAACCUAAGAGACACAACUAUCCAAUCUAAAGUCACGACUCGUACACACACCUUUUAAUACAACAUUAUUACUUAGUAAUAUAUGACAAAAAACUCAAUUGCAAACUAACAAGAAGAAAAAAACGUUUGCCGGCCGAUGACCACAUCGAUGAAGGGGGAGAUGCUUUGUAACUCUCUUUUAAUUCCUUUCUCUACUUCUCAAAAGCCAUAAAAACCAGUGUUAAAACUCACUGUAUUGAUUCCAAUUAUCAACAAGUCAAUUAUGGGGCUGUUACUUGGAAAGAAGGGAUAUUCGACAGAAGGGAGAAGAAGAAAGAUGUUAUAACGUGGCAUCUCAUAAUUUAUUUAUUUCAUUUUUUUAUUUAAAAAUUAUUUGCUAAUUCUGCUAUUUAACCUUUUUUUUAAUGUAAAUUUGUGCAACCAAUCUACACUAAGUUAACGGUUCCUAUAUUAAGUAAAGUUAAAUAAUCUACCAAAAAACAUACCUUCACGAUUUUAAAAUACGGAAGGAAGACUAAAAGAAUAGAAAAUGAGAUGAAAAAUGAAUAUAAAUGCAAACCCAGAAGAACAACAGUAUGACAAGAGAAAAAGAAACAAACUAUAUACAUAUAUAUAUAUAUAUAUAUAUAUAUAUAUAUA